CCUACGGGAGGCAGCAGUGAGGAAUAUUGGUCAAUGGCCGUAAGGCUGAACCAGCCAAGUCGCGUGAAGGAAGAAGGAUCUAUGGUUUGUAAACUUCUUUUAUAGGGGAAUAAAGGGAGCCACGUGUGGAUAUUUGCAUGUACCCUAUGAAUAAGCAGCGGCUAACUCCGUGCCAGCAGCCGCGGUAAUACGGAGGAUGCGAGCGUUAUCCGGAGUUAUGGGGUUUAAAGGGGGCGUAGGUUUUUUUUUAAGUCAGCGGGGAAAGUUUGUGGCUCCACCAUAAAAUUGCCGUUGAAACUGGCAGACUUGCGUGUGUUUGAGGUCGGCGUCAUGCGUGGUGUAGCGG
rnacentral:rRNA from 1 species